rnacentral:lncRNA from 1 species
AAUUGUAUUUUUUGAUUAUAUAAAAAGUCUAAAGCUUUGAAACCUUUAAGGUGUAGAAAGCUGAAGUAGAAAAUUAAGUUAAACAAAAAAAUUAGGGUUGUGAGAUCUGAUAGGAGUAGUAAAUACUAUGAAAGAUAUGAUAAAUCUGACCAUAAUCCUGAAUCUUUUACUAAAUUUUUUGAACAGCAUGGCAUUAUAGCAC